AGAAACUCUGCUUCCACACCCAUUUGGAUCAUUCAGCUAAGAACAGGCACAGCCCAGGGUCAUGUUUGACCUGAAUGGAGCAGGUUUGUCUGCAGUCAGGUGUCUGGGACCCCAGGACAGCUCCCACACUGCCAGAACUGGAAGGAGCAGGGAAAUUUUCCCCUACUUUGGGAUCAGGUGGGAAAGGUUCUUUGGGGUGACAGAUGAAGCUGUAUUCUCACCUCUGCAAGUGCCUCUUUGCCAGUCAGUCCAAUUGUGGUGGAGGGCUGCUGUGAGCCUGAUUUCCACACAGGAGUUUGCAGAAAUAUGUUUUAUUGCAGGU
rnacentral:lncRNA from 1 species